rnacentral:misc_RNA from 1 species
GAUGAAGAACGCAGCGAAAUGCGAUAAGUAGUGUGAAUUGCAGAAUUCAGUGAAUCAUCGAAUCUUUGAACGCACAUUGCGCCCCUUGGCAUUCCGGGGGGCAUGCCUGUCCGAGCGUCAUUGCUGCCCUCAAGCACGGCUUGUGUGUUGGGCCUCCGUCCUCCUCCCGGGGGACGGGCCCGAAAGGCAGCGGCGGCACCGCGUCCGGUCCUCGAGCGUAUGGGGCUUCGUCACCCGCUCUUGUAGGCCCGGCCGGCGCUUGCCGACACAUCAAUCUUUUUUCCAGGUUGACCUCGGAUCAGGUAGGGAUACCCGCUGAACUUAAGCAUAUCAAUAAGCGGAGGA